rnacentral:rRNA from 1 species
AUUGAACGCUGGCGGCAUGCCUUACACAUGCAAGUCGAACGGCAGCACGGGAGCAAUCCUGGUGGCGAGUGGCGAACGGGUGAGUAAUAUAUCGGAACGUGCCCAGUCGUGGGGAUAACGUAGCGAAAGCUACGCUAAUACCGCAUACGAUCUAUGGAUGAAAGCGGGGGAUCGCAAGACCUCGCGCGAUUGGAGCGGCCGAUAUCAGAUUAGGUAGUUGGUGAGGUAAAGGCUCACCAAGCCGACGAUCUGUAGCUGGUCUGAGAGGACGACCAGCCACACUGGGACUGAGACACGGCCCAGACUCCUACGGGAGGCAGCAGUGGGGAAUUUUGGACAAUGGGCGCAAGCCUGAUCCAGCAAUGCCGCGUGCAGGAUGAAGGCCUGGUGUAACUGCUUUGUACGG